UGGAAGUAAAAGUCGUAACAAGGUUUCCGUAGGUGAACCUGCGGAAGGAUCAUUACCGAGUUCUAGGGGUCUUCGGACCUCUUCUCUCACACCCUAUGUGUACCUACCUCUGUUGCUUUGGCGGGCCGCGGUCCUCCGCGGCCGGCCCCCUAACCGGGGCUGGCCAGCGCCCGCCAGAGGACUACCAAACUCCAGUCAGUAAACGUAGCUGUCUGAUCAAAAGUUUAAUAAACUAAAACUUUCAACAACGGAUCUCUUGGUUCUGGCAUCGAUGAAGAACGCAGCGAAAUGCGAUAAGUAAUGUGAAUUGCAGAAUUCAGUGAAUCAUCGAAUCUUUGAACGCACAUUGCGCCCCUUGGUAUUCCGAGGGGCAUGCCUGUUCGAGCGUCAUUUCACCACUCAAGCUCUGCUUGGUAUUGGGCGCCGUCCUUCACCGGACGCGCCUCAAAGACCUCGGCGGUGGCGUCUUGCCUCAAGCGUAGUAGAAAACACCUCGCUUUGGAGGACGGGACGUUCGCUCGCCGGACGAACCUUCUGAAUUUUCUCAAGGUGACCUCGGAUCAGGUAGGGAUACCCGCUGAACUUAAGCAUAUCAAUAAGCGGAGGAA
rnacentral:rRNA from 1 species